rnacentral:rRNA from 1 species
UGGUGGAGUGAUUUGUCUGGUUAAUUCCGUUAACGAACGAGACCUCAGCCUACUAAAUAGUCGUGCAAAUUCUGAAUUUGUAGCUUGACUUCUUAGAGGGACUAUUGGCGUUUAGCCAAUGGAAGUUUGAGGCAAUAACA